GAUGAACGCUAGCGGCAGGCUUAAUACAUGCAAGUCGAGGGGCAGCAUGAUUGUAGCAAUACAAUUGAUGGCGACCGGCAAACGGGUGCGGAACACGUACACAACCUUCCAACAAGUGGGGGAUAGCCCAGAGAAAUUUGGAUUAAUACCCCGUAACAUAGCGAUGUGGCAUCACAUUGCUAUUAUAGAUUUUUCGCUUGUUGAUGGGUGUGCGGCUGAUUAGAUAGUUGGAGGGGUAACGGCCCACCAAGUCUACGAUCAGUAGCUGAUGUGAGAGCAUGAUAAGCCACACGGGCACUGAGACGCGGGCCCGACUCCUACGGGAGGCAGCAGUAAGGAAUAUUGGACAAUGGACGCAAGUCUGAUCCAGCCAUGCCGCGUGAAGGAUUAAGGUCCUCUGGAUUGUAAACUUCUUUUAUAAGGGACGAAAAAAGGCUUUUCUACGUCGUCUGACGGUACCUUAUGAAUAAGCACCGGCUAACUCCGUGCCAGCCGCCGCCGUAACAC
rnacentral:rRNA from 1 species